AUAGGAAGAAAAAAAAAAAACAAAAGAAGAGAUCUGAAUAUUUUGAGUGAAAAACCGUGAGAGAGAAGGGAGAAGGGAGAAAGAAGAAGAAGAAGAGAAAAGAGGGAAAUUAGAAAGGAAAUAGAAAUGAGUUGGAGGAAAUAAGUAAAAAGAUAAUCCUGAUAUUCUACCGGCGGGACGUCAGUAGGAUUUCCUUUGAUAUCAGCUUUGAGUUUUGUUGCUUUUGAGUCAGGUGAGUGGAUAAUUUUCCAUAUGCAUAAGAAAUAUUAUAAAUAUUUGAUUUGUUAAUAUGAAUUGGAUCAUGCUUCUUGAUAAUAUAUAUGUUGAUUAUUAUCCUUGUUUUGAUAAAGCAUGAUCAAUUGUUGAAUCUGAAUUCUUGAUAUGAACCAGUAUAUAUUUUGAAUUGAAUUCUGAAUUGAUAGCUCCUCAUUUGAUUGAUGUCAUGAGUUGAGCCUUGAGAUAUGAAUAUGUCUGUUUGAUUAUGAUUAUGAACCUAUGGUAUGUCAGUCAGAAUACUCAUGCUAACAGGGUAGUGUUAGUCUUUGUGCACAUCGUAUCUGAACCCUAGUUGGUCGGGGGAGUCACCAACCUGUGUGGACUGAUCAUCCCACAGUACGGAGCCUCAUGCUCAUUGCAUUUUGAUUUUCUGACGAGCUUUACCAUAUGAUAUUCUUGUUAUGGCCUAUUUGAGAAACCUUUCUAUAAGAACCUAGAGCCAUACUUGUAUAUAUAUUUCUCAUUGCUGUAUUACCUCGUGUGUGUAUAUUGAACGUUAUCUACUCACUGAGUUGUUGAACUCACCCUCUCAUUAUUAUUCUUUUCAGGCUUAUAGCUUGAUAGCAGGUCAUUUUGUUGGACAUUCAGAACCUGCUCUUUUGGUUGUACUGUGUACCUUUCUUUUAUGUCUAGUUAGUGCUCCAAAACUCUGAACUUAUAUAAAGUCUUGUAUUAAGACAAUUCAAUUAUAUUAUGAAAUUUAUUUUGUUAUUAUGCU